CGGAUCGGAGUCUGCAACCCGACUCCGUGAAGCUGGAUUCGCUAGUAAUCGCGCAUCAGCCAUGGCGCGGUGAAUACGUUCCCGGGCCUUGUACACACCGCCCGUCAAGCCAUGGGAGCCGGGGGUGCUCGAAGUGCGUCGCCGCAAGGCGCGCCCUAGAGCAAAACUGGUGACUGGGGCUAAGUCGUAACAAGGUAAC
rnacentral:rRNA from 1 species